UACGAGGGGGGCGAGCGUUGUUCGGAAUUAUUGGGCGUAAAGGGUGCGUAGGCGGUUUGGUAAGUCUUAUGUGAAAUCUACAGGCUCAACUUGUAGUCUGCAUGAGAAACUGCCGGGCUUGAGUAUGGGAGAGGUGAGUGGAAUUCCUGGUGCAGCGGUGAAAUGCGUAGAUAUCAGGAGGAACACCUGUGGCGAAAGCGGCUCACUGGACCAUAACUGACGCUGAUGCACGAAAGCUAGGGGAGCAAACAGG
rnacentral:rRNA from 1 species